ACAAGACGUGUCAUGCGAGAUAUUGAGAUUUUCGAGUCGGGUCGGGAGUGAUGGAUACUUCAGUAGAGGCAAAGAAACGGAAAUCACAGUCAAAUAUGUCCCCCUCGGUGGUGAUAUGGUUGGUUAUGAGUGGUAUGUUUCGAGUGGACCACCCUCUAUAUAAGGAGUUUAAUAGCGUCUCGGGCAGUACCUACCUAAUCGCUACUCAUCCGAACCGACAAUUCCCAAACUAAUGCGAAGACCGAAUAUUCUUCGACAGAGCAAGGUAGCUACGGACGAAGAAAACGUGGUGUUUCGCUAGUAACUUCUGCCAACUGAACUAAAAUGGCCCACACUUUUUAUUGGUGCAUCGUUGAUGUUUGGAAUCAUAGGGAGCGAAACAAAUUUUUUGCGACAAGAUGGAUUUCUGCAAAUGGAAAUGGAAACGCGGUUCCCUUACUGCACCGUUCGCUGUAGCCUUCCACGAGGGUGAUUCUAGAACAAUAAAAUAAUUGUUGUUACAUGUUAAAUUAUAAAUUGUGAUUUAACUUUUAUUAAUAAAUUUACU